CUGCGAUCCACCUACCUUGGCCUUCCAAAGUGCUGGGAUUACAGGCGUGAGCCACCAUGCCCAGCCGCUUCAUCUUUCUUUACUCAUGAGGACUCGGUCAAGACAAUGGUGCCCUCAGGAAGGUUACGAGAGAGCAAGCUGUGCUGCUUUGCCCAUCUUGGGAUGAGAAUCCUGCCUGAGCCCUGCUAUAAAAAUAACCUGCCUGGAAACCUCAUCUCCAAGGGGUAGAAAGAAGCUUUUGUAUCCAGGGAAGCUGCUCUAACUGCCUCCCUGUACCUUCGCCUCAGCCCAUGCAUCAAGGAGGAGCCAGCCAAGGCCAGACCUAUCUCUCCUUGGAGACUGCACAAGCAGGUGAGCAUUAAAGGAAGGCGGGAGGCCAAUUUUUGCCCAGCAUUAGGAAGAACAUUGCUAUUGUUCCAGCAAUGAAGUGAGCUGCCUGAGAGAGUCCGAGCUCUCUGUGGCUGCGAGGCCAGCAGGCCAGGACUUGCAGAGACCACUGGUGCCUAUAGGAGGCACAUGCUGGGCUUGACAAAAGAAAGCCCAACAUUUUAUACCCCUUAAGUCAUCCCCAGCCCAUGCCUUGUUUCCCCAUCCGCACAGUGGUUGGAGCAAGACUAGAUGAAGGCUGAGGUCUUGUCUAGCUCUAACUUUCUAGAAUUCUGGAAUUCCUGAAGGCAGGACUCCAGGCCUCAGGGUCUGGCCAAGAGAACAGAGACGUGGCUGUUUGUCCAGCUUGGUAGAACAGUGGAGCUUAUUGAGCUUGCGGUUCCCUGAAACAGAACCAGUCAAAAGGCAUACGCAGAGAAGGUAAAUUCAUCUGUGGGUCUGGUGAGAGUCACUGAAAAAAAUGUAGUGCUUGAGGACUGUCCAAGGAGAGCCAAUUUUCAACUCAUAGCCUGUGAUGCUGCGCCCAAACAAUGAGAACAGCACACUGGGCUUCAUCCAACCACGGCCAGAGGGAAAACAGUGAUCUUGCAGAUGAUGUCCUCAUCGAUAGCACAGUGACCAAGCGGCCCUGCAUGGUGGGGGCCCCUUAAAAUGGUUCCCCUUCCCUUGCAGGCCUGGUCAGGUGGUGUUUGUAAAGCAAAGGGAACCCUUUUAGA
rnacentral:lncRNA from 1 species